rnacentral:rRNA from 1 species
CGGAAGGAUCAUUACCGCUAUCGAUCAGAUUUAUAAUAUCCUUUAUAUUUCUAU